rnacentral:piRNA from 1 species
UAUCUAUAUUUCGUGCCCAACCUCACCCUUU